AUUGAACGCUGGCGGAAUGCUUUACACAUGCAAGUCGAGCGGCAGCGCGGGGGCAACUCUGGCGGCGAGCGGCGAACGGGUGAGUAAUGCAUCGGAACAUGUCCGGUUGUGGGGGAUAACCUGGCGAAAGCCAGGCUAAUACCGCAUGAGCUCGAGAGAGGAAAGCGGGGGACCGUAAGGCCUCGCGCGACCGGGUUGGCCGAUGUCCGAUUAGCUAGUUGGUGGGGUAAAGCUUACCAAGGCGAUGAUCGGUAGCUGGUCUGAGAGGAUGAUCAGCCACACUGGGACUGAGACACGGCCCAGACUCCUACGGGAGCAGCAGUGGGGGAUUUUGGACAAUGGGGGCAACCCUGAUCCAGCCAUUCCGCGUGAGUGAAGAAGGCCU
rnacentral:rRNA from 1 species